AUUGAACGCUGGCGGAAUGCUUUACACAUGCAAGUCGAGCGGCAGCACGGGGGCAACCCUGGUGGCGAGCGGCGAACGGGUGAGUAAUACAUCGGAACAUGCCCAGUCGUUGGGGAUAACACUUCGAAAGAAGUGCUAAUACCGCCAACGUCCGGAGGGAGAAAGCGGGGGAUCUUCGGACCUCGCGCGAUUGGAGUUGCCGAUGUCAGAUUAGCUAGUUGGGGGGGUAAAGGCCUACCAAGGCAACGAUCUGUAGCUGGUCUGAGAGGAUGGUCAGCCACACUGGGACUGAGACACGGCCCAGACUCCUACGGGAGGCAGCAGUGGGGAAUUUUGGACAAUGGGGGCAACCCUGAUCCAGCCAUUCCGCGUGAGUGAAGAAGGCCUUCGGGUUGUAAAGCUCUUUCGGCAGGAACGAAACGGCGAGCUCUAACAUAGCUUGCUAAUGACGGUACCUGAAGAAGAAGCACCGGCUAACUACGUGCCAGCAGCCGCCGUAAGAC
rnacentral:rRNA from 1 species